CGUGGGUAACCUGCCUUAUAGUGGGGGAUAGCCUUUCGAAAGGAAGAUUAAUACCGCAUAAGAUUGUAGUAUCGCAUGAUAUAGCAAUUAAAGGAGCAAUUCGCUAUAAGAUGGACCCGCGUCGCAUUAGCUAGUUGGUGAGGUAAUGGCUCACCAAGGCGACGAUGCGUAGCCGACCUGAGAGGGUGAUCGGCCACAUUGGGACUGAGACACGGUCCAGACUCCUACGGGAGGCAGCAUG
rnacentral:rRNA from 1 species